rnacentral:rRNA from 1 species
GGCAGGCGCUGCUAAUACAUGCAAGUCGAGCGCGGGAAGCAGGCAGAUCCUCUUCGGAGGUGACGCCUGUGGAACGAGCGGCGGACGGGUGAGUAACACGUGGGCAACCUGCCUGUAAGAUUGGGAUAACCCCGGGAAACCGGGGCUAAUACCGGAUAAUACUUUUCGUUGCAUAACGAGAAGUUGAAAGGCGGCUUUUAGCUGUCACUUACAGAUGGGCCCGCGGCGCAUUAGCUAGUUGGUAAGGUAACGGCUUACCAAGGCGACGAUGCGUAGCCGACCUGAGAGGGUGAUCGGCCACACUGGGACUGAGACACGGCCCAGACUCCUACGGGAGGCAGCAGUAGGGAAUCUUCCGCAAUGGACGAAAGUCUGACGGAGCAACGCCGCGUGAGUGAUGAAGGUUUUCGGAUCGUAAAACUCUGUUGUCAGGGAAGAACAAGUGCCGUUCAAAUAGGGCGGCACCUUGACGGUACCUGACCAGAAAGCCCCGGCUAACUACGUGCCAGCAGCCGCGGUAAUACGUAGGGGGCAAGCGUUGUCCGGAAUUAUUGGGCGUAAAGCGCGCGCAGGCGGUCCUUUAAGUCUGAUGUGAAAGCCCACGGCUUAACCGUGGAGGGCCAUUGGAAACUGGAGGACUUGAGUACAGAAGAGGAGAGUGGAAUUCCACGUGUAGCGGUGAAAUGCGUAGAGAUGUGGAGGAACACCAGUGGCGAAGGCGACUCUCUGGUCUGUAACUGACGCUGAGGUGCGAAAGCGUGGGGAGCGAACAGGAUUAGAUACCCUGGUAGUCCACGCCGUAAACGAUGAGUGCUAGGUGUUAAGGGGGUUUCCGCCCCUUAGUGCUGAAGUUAACGCAUUAAGCACUCCGCCUGGGGAGUACGGCCGCAAGGCUGAAACUCAAAAGAAUUGACGGGGGCCCGCACAAGCGGUGGAGCAUGUGGUUUAAUUCGAAGCAACGCGAAGAACCUUACCAGGUCUUGACAUCCUCUGCCAAUCCUAGAGAUAGGAUGUUCCCUUCGGGGACAGAGUGACAGGUGGUGCAUGGUUGUCGUCAGCUCGUGUCGUGAGAUGUUGGGUUAAGUCCCGCAACGAGCGCAACCCUUGAUCUUAGUUGCCAGCAUUUAGUUGGGCACUCUAAGGUGACUGCCGGUGACAACCGGAGGAAGUGGGGAUGACGUCAAUCAUCAUGCCCCUAUGACCGGGCUACCACCUGCUACAUGGAUGGAACAAGGGCACCGAACCGCGGGUCAAGCAAUCCCUAAAAC